rnacentral:rRNA from 1 species
AGAGUUUGAUCCUGGCUCAGGAUGAACGCUGGCGGCGUGCCUAAUACAUGCAAGUCGAACGCACAGCGAAAGGUGCUUGCACCUUUCAAGUGAGUGGCGAACGGGUGAGUAACACGUGGAUAACCUACCUCAAGGUUGGGGAUAACAUUUGGAAACAGAUGCUAAUACCGAAUAAAACUUCGUAUCGCAUGAUACAAGGUUAAAAGGCGCUACGGCGUCACCUAGAGAUGGAUCCGCGGUGCAUUAGUUAGUUGGUGGGGUAAAGGCCUACCAAGACAAUGAUGCAUAGCCGAGUUGAGAGACUGAUCGGCCACAUUGGGACUGAGACACGGCCCAAACUCCUACGGGAGGCUGCAGUAGGGAAUCUUCCACAAUGGGCGAAAGCCUGAUGGAGCAACGCCGCGUGUGUGAUGAAGGCUUUCGGGUCGUAAAGCACUGUUGUAUGGGAAGAACAGCUAGAGUAGGGAAUGACUUUAGUUUGACGGUACCAUACCAGAAAGGGACGGCUAAAUACGUGCCAGCAGCCGCGGUAAUACGUAUGUCCCGAGCGUUAUCCGGAUUUAUUGGGCGUAAAGCGAGCGCAGACGGUUGAUUAAGUCUGAUGUGAAAGCCCGGAGCUCAACUCCCGGAAAGGCAUUGGAAACUGGUCAACUUGAGUGCAGUAGAGGUAAGUGGAACUCCAUGUGUAGCGGUGGAAUGCGUAGAUAUAUGGAAGAACACCAGCGGCGAAGGCGGCUUACUGGACUGUAACUGACGUUGAGGCUCGAAAGUGUGGGUAGCAAACAGGAUUAGAUACCCUGGUAGUCCACACCGUAAACGAUGAACACUAGGUGUUAGGAGGUUUCCGCUUCUUAGAGACGAAGAUAAACUCAUUAAGUAUUCCACAUGGGGAGAAAGACCGCAAGAUUAAACUCCAAGGAAUAGACGGGGACCCGCACAAGCGGUGGAGCAUGUGGUUUAAUUAGAAGCAGCACGAAGAACCUUACCAAGGUCUUGACAUCCUUUGAAGCUUUUAGAGAUAGAAAGAGUUCUAUUCGGAGACAAAGUGACAGGUGGAGCAUGGUCGUCGUCAGCUCGUGUCGUGAGAUGUUGGGUUAAGUCCCGCAACGAGCGCAACCCUUAUUGUUAGUUGCCAGCAUUCAGAUGGGCACUCUAGCGAGACUGCCGGUGACAAACCGGAGGAAGGCGGGGACGACGUCAGAUCAUCAUGCCCCUUAUGACCUGGGCUACACACGUGCUACAAUGGCGUAUACAACGAGUUGCCAACCUGUGAAGGUGAGCUAAUCUCUUAAAGUACGUCUCAGUUCGGACUGCAGUCUGCAACUCGACUGCACGAAGUCGGAAUCGCUAGUAAUCGCGGAUCAGCACGCCGCGGUGAAUACGUUCCCGGGUCUUGCACACACCGCCCGUCA